GACGAACGCUGGCGGCGUGCCUAAUACAUGCAAGUAGAACGCACAGUUUAUACUUUCGCUUGCUUCACCAUAGACUGUGAGUUGUGAACGGGUGAGUAACGCGUCUGUAACCUGCCUUGUAGCGGGGGAUAACUAUUGGAAACGAUAGCUAAUACCGCAUAAUAUUAAUUAUUGCAUGAUAAUUAAUUGAAAGGUGUAAUUGCACCACUACCAGAUUGACCUGCGUUGUAUUAGCUUGUAGGUGCGGUAACGGCUCACCUAGGCGACGAUACAGAGCCCACAGGAGGGGGUGGGCAGCCAGACUGGGAGGGGGACAGGGCCCAGAGGGCUACGGGAGGGAGCAGGAGGGAAACUUGGGCAAGGGGCGAAAGACUGACCGAGAAACGCCGCGGGAGUGAAGAAGGAUGUCGGAUCGGAAAGCUCGGUUGUAAGAGAAGAAAGGGUGUGAGAGUGGAAAGUUCACUAUGUGACGGUAUCUGAACAGAAAGAGACGGCUAACUACGUG
rnacentral:rRNA from 1 species